AUGUAUCAUGUAUGUAUCUAUUAUGACAAAUUCUGCUCGCUCGCUCGCUUGGUUCGUGUUAUAAAAAUAAAUGUGACUUUACUGCGGUCUUUUUCGGUUUAUUUAGUUUUGUGUUAACUAUAUCCACAAAGUAUUCGAAUAAAUUGGUAAUAUAAAACUUUCCCGCGAGUACAGUAUCAUUACUGAGGGGAAAUAUAACAUUAUUCAUUUAAUUCCACAAAAGGCCUGUAACGUACUGCAGCUUCCUGCAGGCAACGUGAAACAUUGCUGAGGGAGAACUUUAUUCACAACAAAAGGAUAAAGAUGAAGAGGAGGGACUUGAGCAGCUUGUGAUGGCUGUAAUUGUAAAGAAUGGAUCUUAGGAGUGGCAGCCCAAAGGAUGCUGGGAUUGUUAUUGAGGCCUUAAAGGUGUUCACGGGGCAUGCUUUAUCCUUGGAUCUAUGCAUUGAAUCUCCAGUAUCCCAGGCAUCUUUUCAGGUGUUUCAGAAACUUUUCUUGCAGCUGGAUUCUUCAAAGUUUAUAAACUGAUUACAGUACAGUAAGUCUAAACUGCUGUCUGAUUUUCUGGGUGUGAAUCAAUGUAACAGAACACAAACAUGGAACCUUGUGGACGGGAAAUGUGGACGGUUUUCUUUAAAGACUGUAAAAUACUUUUUGAAUUGUACACUGUUACAAAUACAUCAUUAAAAUGAGAUGCUUUCCUGUUCUUUUGACUGCAAUAAAAUAAG